GUGAUGGCUCACACCUUUAAUCCCAACACCAGGGAGGUGGAGACUGGAUGUGACAUGUGACGUGAUUGGGUAGAGAGAGAAAGUUACGGUGGGAGAAGACAGGAUUCAGGAUUCAGUCUGAGGAGUCUUAGAGACAGGAUACCCAUAUCAGUCUGAGGAUUUUGUAGAGCUUAAGGAGUGGAUCUGGUCAGUGCCCUGGCUAGACCUGAUGAUGAAGGAUUGCUGAAACUUUGUCAGUGGGGCUGAAAAAUGGGGAGCCUGGAACUGGAGAACCAGAUGGAGGCUGCUUUCUACUCUGGACAACUUGCCCCAAUCAUCAGCAAGAAAUGAGACUUUCGUGAAAACAACCAAAUACACUGUUCUUUUACUUAUCUCUGACUAUACAAGUUACACAUGAAAGUGCAUAAACAUGGACGAUUCAGAGAGCUGGGAAUAAAUACGGUCACAGUGUACCUAAAUAAGGCAA